UUUGCGACUGUAUCCAAACUACG
rnacentral:miRNA from 1 species